UAAGUUCUAACAAUUACCAUGUCAAUUAUCUAAGCAAAAUUCUAAUUAAGUUCUAAUCCUCUUAACACUAAAGGUCCAAAAAAACCAGCAAGUGGACUCAAACAAAUAGAGAUUGGGCCUGGAAUGUUCAUCCUAUAAGCCCAAUCAGGGGGUGCGCAGGCUAAGGAGUGUGCAAAGGGAAAUUAGAGGAGAUUGGGCAUAAAGCCCAAACCAUCAUUCCAGAUGCAACAACGGGAAUAGGAUCCCCAAACCAACACAGUAAAACGCAAAGGAUAUGGAUCUUUCACUUUCAAACACCGAUCGGUCACUCCAACGACUCCGCCGUGCCGGAGCUCAUCGUCGGCGGCGGUGGAGCUUCCCAACGUCCUCACUCACACGAUCCUAAACGUCUCACACCCUCGAUCUAAAUGCAGCGGCUCAAACGAUGAAAUCAGAGUUUUACCGGCAACAGCGAUAAUGGCGGAUGCGUCGACGACGUCGACUUCAAGACAGAGGCGAAGCACGAUUUGAAGUUUCAAUUCCUUUCCCUGCUUUAUUUUUCUGUGACUCGCUUCUGUCACGUUGAUUUCAUUGCCGCUCGCGAUUGCUCGGUUUCAACGAUGGAUGAAGAUCCCUCUUCCGUCGCGGUUUGAUCUGCAGAACUUUUCGGAAUUGGUGUGGAGUUAUGACUCGUGAAAAGCAAUGGUGGUGGAAGCGGUUAUGGAGGAUUGAAGGCGAGGUUUCGAGAAGAGAAGUUCUGGAAGAAAUUGGAGAGAGGGAAGAAGAUUCGAGAGCCAAAAAUCGCCGUGAAUCAGAGUAUUUAUAUAAUUUGAAGCUUGUGUUUCUGAAUUUUUCAAUGUCCUUUUAAUUCUUUUUUGAUGUCGUUUUUGUUUAAUUCAUUACCGCUUAUGCGUUUCGCAUUUUGGUGCUUGUGUUUUGAAGCUGCGUUUUUGCUUAAGCUUGUGUUGGCUUAAGCAUUUACGUUUUGGUUUGUAGCUUUAGGCAGCUUUCGUACUUUGUGUUUGUUUUGCACGGCCUGCUUGCGUUUGAAGUGUUUUACUCUGCUACCGUUUGGAUUGAAGCUUUCCCCAUUAUUUAGGUAGCCUGUACUUUUGGAUGGAGCUCAAAUGUUGGUGGCUUUCGCAUGGCUUAUGGUUUGGAAUGUUCACCUGCGUUUGCUCAUGUUUGAGUUUCUGUUUCCGUUUAUACAGGUGGUUAGCUGGCUUUGAGCUGAUGUCGUCGGUUGUGCGUUUCACAUUGGAUGCAGUUUUUUUUGCAGCAUUUAGUAGGUGUUUGUGCAGCUUGGAGUUGCAGUCUUUACUCACAUUUUGACGCUUAUAGCUUUGGAUUUCUUCCCGUGUUGCUUGUGCUAGUUACAGCGGCUUGGAGUAUUGUGCAGUUUGUCGCGUGUUGCACUUACAGUUGGUUGUAGCAGCUGGUUUUGCAGCUGAGUUUGGAAGUGGCUCAUGGAUAGUAGCGUUUUUCCUUUUGGUUUUUGUAGCUGCGCUUUGCAGCCUUUUGAAUGGUUUAGCAGCUUUUACGUGUUAAUUGUACAACACUUUGCCUUUUGGAAAUUCACGUGGUGGCUUUGACUUGUAGAGAUUA